AUGACCUUCAUCAUCAUCUUCAUCUGGACUCUCACAGCGUUUGCUCAAGAGUGUAGAGGACAGAUCAGCGUCACUCAGAGUCCCUCAACGACAGCAGCUCAACCAGGAGAAACAGUGAAGAUCAGCUGUAGAACCAGCACAAAUGUGUACAGUGGUAAUCGGUUAGCCUGGUACUUACAGAAACCUGGAGAAGCUCCUAAACUCCUGAUUUAUUAUGCAAGCAGCCUCCAGUCAGGAACUCCAUCUAGAUUCAGUGGCAGUGGAUCUAACAGUGAUUUCACUCUGACCAUCAGUGGAGUCCAGACUGAAGAUGCUGGACAUUAUUACUGUCAGAGUUUUCAUUGCAGAACAAAUUCUUUUGGUUAUUGUGCGGGUGACUAUGUGUUCACACAGUGAUUGUGAUUCGUACAAAAACCUCCAUCAGUCAGAGUCACAGUGACUGAACUGAUGCUGCAGCUGAUCAUGAGGAUGUGAUACAACAUCGUCACACAUGCAUCUGGAAAAAAAAACAUAUCUAAAUGAAUCCGUCACUCUAAAGAAUAAUAGAGUUUAAACUAUUAGUUGAGAGCAACACUUCGACAAAAAGUCAGUCAGAGUCUCCAACAUAUAUACUCAUUGGAAAUACGUUCCUCUACAUACAUUUCUGUAAAACUGAUUGCCAGUAUGUACAGUACGAACCACUGCAGUUUCCAGUUGAAAUAAACACUAGAGGCAGUAAAGUAACUUUUAUUCCUUUUCACACAAAGUAUGAUUUACAGGUACAGAGUUUUGAUUUAUAAGGAAGUUAAAAUAGCACGGCUGCAUCCACAAAUUAAUUUUAUAUCAGUUUUGCAUUUGUUAGCACUAUCAGGUAGGUUAUGUGUUUGGGUUUGGUGUGGGGGAUAUAUACAGGAUAAAGCAUUAACCCUUAGAUACUCUCCCCAGAUUUUUCCAUUCUGAACAGCGGCAAUAAAUA